rnacentral:rRNA from 1 species
UACGUAGGGUGCAAGCGUUAAUCGGAAUUACUGGGCGUAAAGCGUGCGCAGGCGGUUUUGUAAGUCUGUCGUGAAAUCCCCGGGCUCAACCUGGGAAUUGCGAUGGAGACUGCAAGGCUAGAAUCUGGCAGAGGGGGGUAGAAUUCCACGUGUAGCAGUGAAAUGCGUAGAGAUGUGGAGGAAUACCAAUGGCGAAGGCAGCCCCCUGGGAUAAUAUUGACGCUCAUGCACGAAAGCGUGGGGAGCAAACAGG